rnacentral:rRNA from 1 species
UACGUAGGGGGCAAGCGUUGUCCGGAUUUAUUGGGCGUAAAGAGCGUGUAGGCGGCCAGGUAGGUCAGCUGUGAAAACUCGAGGCUCAACCUCGAGACGCCGGUUGAAACCAUCUGGCUAGAGUCCGGAAGAGGAGAGUGGAAUUCCUGGUGUAGCGGUGAAAUGCGCAGAUAUCAGGAAGAACACCCGCGGCUAAGGCGGCUCGCUAGUACGGUACUGACGCUGAGACGCGAAAGCGUGGGGAGCGAACAGG